rnacentral:rRNA from 1 species
AAGUCGUAACAAGGUCUCCGUAGGUGAACCUGCGGAGGGAUCAUUACCGAGCGAGGGCGCUUGCCGCCCAACCUCCCAACCCUUUGAUUUGAUCAACACCUCGUUCUGCCUCGGGGCGACCCGGACCUUCGGGAAGGGGUCCCCCCGGUGGACACCUCCAACUCUGCAUCAAUUGUCGUCCGAGUACCAAUGAAAAAAAUUCAAUCAAAACUUUUAACAACGGAUCUCUUGGUUCUGGCAUCGAUGAAGAACGCAGCGAAAUGCGAUAAGUAAUGUGAAUUGCAGAAUUCAGUGAAUCAUCGAAUCUUUGAACGCACAUUGCGCCCGCCAGCAUUCUGGCGGGCAUGCCUGUCCGAGCGUCAUUUCAACCCUCAGGCCCCGUAAUCUCUCGGGGCCUGGCGUUGGGGAUCGGCCCUGCAGCCCAGGGCCGGCCCCGAAAUCCAGUGGCGGUCACGCCGCGGCUUCCUCUGCGUAGUAGAAACACCUCGCAUAGGGACGCGGCGCGGCCACGCCGUAAAGCGGGCGCGAGCCCAACUUCUUCAAGGUUGACCUCGGAUCAGGUAGGAAUACCCGCUGAACUUAA